GACGAACGCUGGCGGCGUGCUUAACACAUGCAAGUCGAACGGAAAGGCCCUGCUUGCAGGGUACUCGAGUGGCGAACGGGUGAGUAACACGUGGGUGAUCUGCCCUGCACUUCGGGAUAAGCCUGGUAAACUGGGUCUAAUACCGGAUAGGAGCCAUUUUUAGUGGGAUGGUUGGAAAGUUUUUUCGGUGUAGGAUGAGCUCGCGGCCUAUCAGCUUGUUGGUGGGGUAAUGGCCUACCAAGGCGGCGACGGGUAGCCGGCCUGUGAGGGUGGACGGCCAUAUUGGGACUGAGGUGCGGCAGAGGCAGCGACGGGAGGGAGCAGUGGGGAAUACUGAACAAUGGGCGCCAGCCUGGUGCAGAGAGGCCGCGUGGGGGAUGACGGCCUUCGGGUUGUAAACUACUUUCGCUAGGGACGAAGCUUUUUGUGACGGUACCUAGAUAAGAAGCCACGGCUAACUACGUG
rnacentral:rRNA from 1 species